UACGGGAGGCAGCAGUGGGGAAUAUUGCACAAUGGGCGAAAGCCUGAUGCAGCAACGCCGCGUGAGCGAUGAAGGCCUUCGGGUCGUAAAGCUCUGUCCUCAAGGAAGAUAAUGACGGUACUUGAGGAGGAAGCCCCGGCUAACUACGUGCCAGCAGCCGCGGUAAUACGUAGGGGGCUAGCGUUAUCCGGAAUUACUGGGCGUAAAGGGUGCGUAGGUGGUUUCUUAAGUCAGGGGUGAAAGGCUACGGCUCAACCGUAGUAAGCUUUUGAAACUGGGAAACUUGAGUGCAGGAGAGGAGAGUGGAAUUCCUAGUGUAGCGGUGAAAUGCGUAGAUAUUAGGAGGAACACCAGUAGCGAAGGCGGCUCUCUGGACUGUAACUGACACUGAGGCACGAAAGCGUGGGGAGCAAACAGGAUUAGAUACCCUGGUAGUCCACGCCGUAAACGAUGAGUACUA
rnacentral:rRNA from 1 species